rnacentral:rRNA from 1 species
GACGAACGCUGGCGGCGUGCUUAACACAUGCAAGUCGAACGGAAAGGCCCUGCUUGCAGGGUACUCGAGUGGCGAACGGGUGAGUAACACGUGGGUGAUCUGCCCUGCACUUCGGGAUAAGCCUGGGAAACUGGGUCUAAUACCGGAUAGGAGCCCUUUUUAGUGUGAUGGUUGGAAAGUUUUUUCGGUGUAGGAUGAGCUCGCGGCCUAUCAGCUUGUUGGUGGGGUAAUGGCCUACCAAGGCGGCGACGGGUAGCCGGCCUGAGAGGGUGGACGGCCACAUUGGGACUGAGAUACGGCCCAGACUCCUACGGGAGGCAGCAGUGGGGAAUAUUGCACAAUGGGCGCAAGCCUGAUGCAGCGACGCCGCGUGGGGGAUGACGGCCUUCGGGUUGUAAACUCCUUUCGCUAGGGACGAAGCUUUUGUGACGGUACCUAGAUAAGAAGCACCGGCUAACUACGUG